rnacentral:piRNA from 1 species
UGCUCUAUACCGCCUAGGGAUUCUGCUAGC